rnacentral:rRNA from 1 species
UGGGGGAUAUUGCACAAUGGGCGAAAGCCUGAUGCAGCGACGCCGCGUGGGGGAUGAAGGCCUUCGGGUUGUAAACUUCUUUUGCUCUGAACAAGGCAUGCUAAUGGGUGUGUUGAGUGUAGGGGUUGAUUAGCGCCGGCUAACUACGUGCCAGCAGCCGCGGUAAUACGUAGGGCGCGAGCGUUGUCCAGAAUUAUUGGGCGUAAAGGGCUUGUAGGUGGCUGGUUGCGUCUGUCGUGAAAGCUCAUGGCUUAACUGUGGGUUUGCGGUGGGUACGGGCUGGCUUGAGUGCAGUAGGGGAGGCUGGAAUUCCUGGUGUAGCGGUGGAAUGCGCAGAUAUCAGGAGGAAUACCGGUGGCGAAGGCGGGUCUCUGGGCUGUUACUGACACUGAGGAGCGAAAGCAUGGGGAGCGAACAGG